rnacentral:hammerhead_ribozyme from 1 species
AUGCACCUGACGAGUCCCAAAUAGGACGAAAUGCGCUUCCUGGAU